rnacentral:rRNA from 1 species
AAAGGUAGCAUAAUCAUUUGCCUUAUAAUUGAAGGCUAGAAUGAAUGGUCCAAUGAUAAUGAUUUCUUUAAUUUUAGUAUAAACUGAAUUUAAUUUUCUAGUGAAAAAGCUAGAAUUAUAAUAAAAGACAAGAAGACCCUAGGAGUUUCUAUAUCUCUUAGAAAAAUUUUGGUUGGGGCAACAAUAAUAAAAAACUAUUAUCUAUAUAAUAUUAACAACUUAUAUAAAAUAAUAAUAAAUUACCCUAGGGAUAACAGAAUAAUUUUAAUAUAGAGACCAAAUCAAAAUUAAAGUUUAUUACCUCGAUGUUGGAUUAAGGUAACAGAUAAAAGUAGCAAUUUAUCUAAGUUUGUCUGUUCGACAAUUAAAACCUUACAU